CACAGAGACGACCAAUUAGCUGAGCAGACCGCAAGCUGUGAACCCCAGCUCUGUAUCCAGAGAAGUGCAAGAGAGGCCUUCAGGGGAGGAGGAAAUGUCAGAUUCUUUAUCCAAGGAAGGUCAUAUUGAGUCAACAGAAGUAGAGCCCAGACUUAACGGCUCAUUUUCCCUGACUCUUAUCACUACACUAGCUGUCUUGAGUGGAACUGGAGAAGGAGUAAGCAGGGAGAGAGAAGAAUCUAUGGACACGGACAUGGAGCUAGGGCUGGGUUUGGGACCGGAAUCA